UACGCCGUGAGCUAGGAGAAGAGCGCUACGCGAGGGCGAGGUAGGGGCGACGGCGGCGGCGGGGGGUGGUGAGGGGACAGAGGCCGAGUCGGUGGAGGUGGAGGUGGUGGGGGUGGGAAGAGAGGUAGCGGGCGCCGUGAGCUAGGCUACGUCGCGGCUAGACCGCCGCCCACGCCGCAGAACGAGGCCACCGCUGCCGCAGGAAUACUAGGUUUCUUUCUCUCUGUACCUCACUCCCUCGGGUUGCGGUGGCGUUGCAGUUACUGGCGAGCGCGCAGAGUAAGUGGAGGUUCGAAGCUGCUGCCGUCUAAUCGUCGGGGACGCCGGCGCUACUGGGACCUAGAUGCCGGUGUCGCCGCGGUCGCCGGGCCGGCCACGUCCGGCGUUGAUUGGGAUCGACGUGACCCUCAAGAGGUAGCCGAGCGGAAGGGGAGGCAGAGGCCACCUGUUUGCGGAGAAGAAAGCGAGGCGGGAUCGAUACCAUCUGACCCUACUUAGACGCGGGGUGGCUAGAACAACCCAUGGGAGGAUAAUACAUCUUCGGAUCUUAAAGAUUGUGUUAACGUGGAGAUACUAGGCCUCUACAACCGUACAGUUCAAAAACGACCCUGGUGUAACACAAGAGAAGACGGCCGUCUAAUUUACUACUUCCGCGACUGUGAAAAGGGGUUACAGACCCGUUUCAGGUCUUUUACCACCCUGUGGUAGAUUACUCCUCGCCGUACAACAUGGUCCAAAUCUUCGUAGUCCAAGUCUUCCGUCCCCGCGUCUGUUGUAGUUAACUAUUCGCAAUUUAGUACCAGAAUAGUUGUACUACCCACAGUUCGAGCGCCACAACGGUAAGACCCGCCUCACCUCCGACGGCGAACGUAUCGACGAAGUAGGCUUCCCAGCGGUACUGCUACUACGGUAGCGGACUGACCCGCUCGGCUCCGUCCUACGCUUCCGCCUCCAACGGCGGGGGCGUCGACGAGCCGGGAGAGAGGGAACCACAACUCAAGAAGAAGCUGGAACCGGCAUGUGACCCUCUCCUUUCUUCCUGUGCUACCUACAGUUGUACUCUUCCUGUCUCCUGCACGACCGCGUGUUCGCCGAGGACCUCGACCGGUUCCUAAACCACGUCGCGGUCCGAAAGUGGCACCCCCAGCACGUUUCUAUACUAGAACUGGGACGAGUUCGACCAGGUGUGGCAACAGUGACAUCGAGGAAGAGGCUCAGAGAAUAGUAGACGAAACGACGGCCGAACUAACGGGUUCGUCGUUCCUACUAUUAGAGAUCCCUCUUCCCCUCUAGGUCGUAGAGGAAAUCCAAUAACUAGAGUACAACUUACGGAACCAUCCACCCUCGGGUCAACCGACGAUUCAUACAGGUUAUCUAAGACCUUUUUCCCGUUACCUUCUUGUUUACUAGAGACCAAAGAUUCUGGACGUCUGGUAUUUCGUGUGUUCAUAUCGGUCGUCGGUUCCUGCCCCGUAGCAUGUUCACUGUCACUGACGUUGCUCCCGUUCUACAGUUAGAACCCCGACCGUGGCCUCUGGCACUCGUGUUGACCCCCCGCUCCGCAGUUGUUGUCGACGUAGCGGGCACAACCGGGGAACUCAAAACCUGGACGGCGCGAGGUCAAGACCUUCGACAGUAAGGGUAAGUAGGGGAGGUCGCCGGAAGUCCAAUAGACUACUUUUCAUGUAAGAUAUGAACCAUCACUAAAUAUAGAUACAACACCCCGCAGAGAUACUUUCCCUACCUGUAUCUAAUGUAACUGAACUUGCCGGCGUACCACGGUACGUAGUACUGGGUGCUCUCCCCUCUCCCCUCACCUUCUAUCACACGGACCACGAGGUAACCUUCUGGUUGUAGUUGGAACUUCUGUCUGUAUUAGUAAACAAACUAAAUAAAUGUACGUAACGUUGGGCAACACGGCGGCGGCGAGAAACGAACCUGUACCGUUUCGAAUUGAACCUCUGUCUGAUUUUUUGGUCACCGCUGAUUCAGUUCUUCGAGUCUUUAACUAUCUAGUUAGAUACCGGAUAACAACUCCUCCAUUUCCUAACGUACGCUACUUCCCUCCUCAAGUCCCACCGUGCCCACUCUAUGAACUGAUUACCUCGAAGAGUAACCGAUCGUUUACUCCCCACACGCUUAUUCAAUACAUUUUGAACCCGAACCAUGGACAGCCUAACAUAAGCACUACAAAACUUGAACCUAGUACGGCUUUACUUACUUAUUUUGUAUUGGGUAAAG
rnacentral:rRNA from 1 species